rnacentral:rRNA from 1 species
AUUGAACGCUGGCGGCAGGCCUAACACAUGCAAGUCGAGCGGUAGAGAGGUGCUUGCAUCUCUUGAGAGCGGCGGACGGGUGAGUAAUGCCUAGGAAUCUGCCUAGUGGUGGGGGAUAACGUUCGGAAACGGACGCUAAUACCGCAUACGUCCUACGGGAGAAAGCGGGGGAUCUUCGGUCCUCGCGCCAUUAGAUGAGCCUAGGUCGGAUUAGCUAGUUGGUGAGGUAAUGGCUCACCAAGGCGACGAUCCGUAACUGGUCUGAGAGGAUGAUCAGUUACACUGGAACUGAGACACGGUCCAGACUCCUACGGGAGGCAGCAGUGGGGAAUAUUGGACAAUGGGCGAAAGCCUGAUCCAGCCAUGCCGCGUGUGUGAAGAAAGGUCUUCGGAUUGUAAAGCACUUUAAGUUGGGUAGGAAGGGUAGUAACCUAAUACGUUGCUACUUGACGUUACCGACAGAAUAAGCACCGGCUAACUUCGUGCCAGCAGCCG